GUCCACGUAGCUCAGUAGGAUAGAGCAUCGGAUUCCUAAUCCGGGGGUCACAGGUUCGAUUCCUGUCGUGGACACCA
rnacentral:tRNA from 3 species